rnacentral:rRNA from 1 species
AUGAAUAUUUUGGCCUGGAACUGUCGAGGCUUGGGGUUGGACUCGACAGUUGGUGAAUUGCGAGACCUGAUUAGGUCCUACAACCAGGCGGUGGUUUUUUUAAGUGAAACUAAAAGAAAGGCGCGAGCGAUGGAGAGACUCAAGUGGAGUUUGGGCUUCAGAAACAGUGUUGCUGUGGAUUGUAACGGAAGGAGUGGGGGCUGGCCCUAUGGUGGAGAGACCAUGUCCAAAUUACGGUGA